rnacentral:rRNA from 1 species
CUACGGAGGGUGCAAGCGUUAUUCGGAAUCACUGGGCGUAAAGGACGCGUAGGCGGGUUGGCAAGUCAGAUGUGAAAUCCUACAGCUUAACUGUAGAACUGCAUUUGAAACUGCUAACCUAGAGUAUGGGAGGGGGAGAUGGAAUUAGUGGUGUAGGGGUAAAAUCCGUAGAUAUCACUAGGAAUACCGAAAGCGAAGGCGAUCUCCUGGAACAUAACUGACGCUAAGGCGAGAAAGCGUGGGGAGCAAACAGGAUUAGAAACCCUAGUAGUCC